rnacentral:rRNA from 1 species
AUGCAUGGGCUAGAACUCCUUAAGAAUGGUGUCAUCUGGAGGGUGGUUGAUGGAGGGAAUAUCAAUAUCUGGAGGGACAAUUGGCUUCCAAGGAUUUCUGGCCUCAAAAUCUCUGGCAAGAAGAACAGAUCAAGACUAAAAGGGGUUUUAGAUUUACUCAAGAGCGGGUCUAGGGAAUGGGACGAUAAUAUCAUUAGACAUCUUUUUUAUCAUCACGAUUCGGAAGAGAUAUUGAAGUUGAGAAUUCAAUCCUCAGGCGAUGGUGAUUUCAUUGCUUGGCAUUUUGAAAAAAAUGGAUUAUUUUCAGUGAAAAGUGCGUACAAUCUGGCGCUAAAGCUUAAGGAUCGGAAAGAGAAUGGUGGGGAAUCCAGCACUGCUAUUAACGGAGAAAGGAGAUUGUGGGAUAUUAUCUGGAAGGCCAACAUCCCACAAAAGAUUAGAAUUUUUGGAUGGCGUGCAGCAUCUGAUAGCCUGGCGGUUCAGGUUAAUAGAGUUUUACAUCAGCAAGCUACCAUUCGCACUUGCUCUAUCUGUGGGGUUGAGGAUGAGAGUACUUUCCACGCUCUUGUUUCUUGCACAAAGGCUCGUGCACUUCGUUUGGCGUUGAGGAAAGUGUGGAAUUUGCCAGGGGAAGAGGCUUUUAAUUAUACUGGGCCUGACUGGUUACUUAUUUUAUUAGACCAGCUAAGUUGUUCGCCAAGGGAGCUCAUCUUGUUUCUUUUCUGGCGAGGUUGGCACUUAAGGAAUGAUUUUAUUUUUGGGAAAGGAAAAGAAACUGUUAUAGGAUCCGCCAUGUUUCUGAAAAGUUACUGGUUGGCAUUUUCGUCGUGUCAGCCUACAAAUGAGGUAAUCACCAAUAACAAAGGAAAAGAGGUGGUGGCUGGUUUUAGUGCAAGUAAUACUGUUGUGAGGUCCAGAGAGGUGUGGCAGCCGCCUCCUUUUGGCCACAUCAAGAUCAAUGUCGAUGCAAGUUUUGUGGAGAGUUCAAGUGUCGCGAGCGUUGGGGUGGUGGCCAGGAGCUGUACGGGUGACAUCAUUGUCUCAUCUUGGGACUUCAUUGGGUUAUGCUCUAGUGUGGAUGAAGCGGAGCUUCGAGCAUGCCUAGCUGGGCUUUAUAUAGGUAUUUCUCUUAACAUGCCUAUUAUUUUGGAAGCUGACUGUGCGUUCGUGGCUUCUCUUCUAGCAAAUGAAAGUUGGGACAGAUCCUCGCUCAUAGAUCUCAAGAAGGAAGACUUAGCAUCAUCAGGCUUCUGGAAAAUUUCAAGUUGUCAAAAAUAA